AGUCGAACGAAGCGCCUUUUAAGAUUCUUCGGAUGAUUGAUCGGUGACUGAGUGGCGGACGGGUGAGUAACGCGUGGGUAACCUGCCUCAUACAGGGGGAUAACAGUUAGAAAUGACUGCUAAUACCGCAUAAGACCACAGCACCGCAUGGUGCAGGGGUAAAAACUCCGGUGGUAUGAGAUGGACCCGCGUCUGAUUAGUUAGUUGGUGGGGUAACGGCCUACCAAGGCGACGAUCAGUAGCCGACCUGAGAGGGUGACCGGCCACAUUGGGACUGAGACACGGCCCAAACUCCUACGGGAGGCAGCAGUGGGGAAUAUUGCACAAUGGGGGAAACCCUGAUGCAGCGACGCCGCGUGAGCGAAGAAGUAUUUCGGUAUGUAAAGCUCUAUCAGCAGGGAAGAAAAUGACGGUACCUGACUAAGAAGCCCCGGCUAACUACGUGCCAGCAGCCGCGGUAAUACGUAGGGGGCAAGCGUUAUCCGGAUUUACUGGGUGUAAAGGGAGCGUAGACGGAGCAGCAAGUCUGAUGUGAAAACCCGGGGCUCAACCCCGGGACUGCAUUGGAAACUGUUGAUCUGGAGUGCCGGAGAGGUAAGCGGAAUUCCUAGUGUAGCGGUGAAAUGCGUAGAUAUUAGGAGGAACACCAGUGGCGAA
rnacentral:rRNA from 1 species